rnacentral:rRNA from 1 species
AGAGUUUGAUCCUGGCUCAGAAUGAACGCUGGCGGCGUGCCUAACACAUGCAAGUCGGAUGUGCCGCAAGGUGCAUGGCAGACGGGUGAGUAACGCGUGGGGAAUCUACCUCUUUGUGGGGAAUAACGCUCCGAAAGGAGUGGUAAUACCGCAUGAGAUCCAUGGCUGGGAUGCUGUGGAUGAAACCUGGGGACCGCAAGGCCUGGGGCAAGGAGAGGAUCCUGCGUCUGAUUGGCUAGUUGGUGAGGUAACGGCCCACCAAGGCAACGAUCAGUAGCCGGCCUGAGAGGGUGAUCGGCCACACUGGAACUGAGACACGGUCCAGACUCCUACGGGAGGCAGCAGUGGGGAAUUUUGCGCAAUGGGCGAAAGCCUGACGCAGCAACGCCGCGUGGGUGAUGAAGG